AGUUCAGUGUCUGAUUGAAAGAGUUAUUGUGAUGCAAUAAAGAAUACCAUUUAUUGGUUUGGGCUA
rnacentral:tRNA from 1 species